rnacentral:rRNA from 1 species
UAGGGAACCUUCGGCAAUGGACGAAAGUCUGACCGAGCAACGCCGCGUGAGUGAAGAAGGUUUUCGGAUCGUAAAACUCUGUUGGUAGAGAAGAACGUUGGUGAGAGUGGAAAGCUCAUCAAGUGACGGUAACUACCCAGAAAGGGACGGCUAACUACGUCCCAG